rnacentral:lncRNA from 1 species
UUGCAUGAAUUAGAGUGACUUAUUACUUUGUGUAAUAUGUUAACAUGCAUAGUGGGUUAAGUUUUGUGGCGUACUCUAUUUGCUCUAUGAGUGGUGUGAGAGCGUGGUAGUGAGAAGAAAGUUAGGCAAUCGUUUCUUUCCUUUAUCUUUGUGAGCCUGUGUGGUUUGUGAAAUUAUGUGAGGUAGCCAUGUUAGGGUUAUAUUCUUCCUCUUUUGUGAGCCUCCUUUGUGAGUGUAGUGAAGUAACCGACUCUUUCUUCGAUUCUCUUUGAGAGUGCCAUCUUCACUAUUUUCUUUGUGAAUUUUUUGGGAGCAUUGGUGAGUAACCUUUGUGGUCAACGAAAGGUGUUGUUUUGUCAUAGUGAGUUUGAGAUACAUUAGCAGCGAGUUGGAUGUCUUUUGGUAAGGUGGAGUAUAGAUGCCUAGAGGUGCAUUGGUGAUAUGCACGAGGGAUGUAGAGUGUGACAUUUGGAUCACGAGUGGAGAUGUGAUCAAAUGUGUAGAAUCAUUUAUCUGUGAAAGAGACCUUGUACAGGUGGAGUGUGAGAGAGUCACUUCUAUCACUUUUGUAAGGUGGAGUCCCAUUAUUCACGUAGGUUGGGAGAAGUGAUGUGGUGAUAGAGGAUUAUCCCAAGAGUUUAGGAUCUAUUGUGACUUGCCAGUUAGACAUGAGUUAAGUGAUUGGUUUAGUGAGCAUGGUGGGCGAUGAGAGGAGAUAUGUGUUCUCAAGGUGGGAGUAACACGGAAUGGGAUAGGAUAAAUGUGGUGAUAUUUUUCAUGGGGUCAUUUAUGCAUUUGUUGCAUAUGUGCAUGAUCGUGUGUUGAUUAACUAAGUGUUAAUUUGUGGUUCUAUGUGAACGUGGUUUUGAAAAGAUCUCUGUGUGUGUUAUCCUAUAUAUAUCUUCAUCGCAUGAUUGUUUGUUCACUGUGAAUACUUGUUUCUACUUGGGUGUUCUUGAUCUUAGCCUUGGUGAGUACAUGGAGCAAGUAUCGUAUGUGUUUCAAGUUGGAAACACGAGGUAAGGUCUGUUAUUCUAAUUUUAUUGGAUUAUCUUGAUUGUGCAAGUAUAAACUGUAUGUUUUGGUUGCUUGUAGAUUAUUGGGCAUCAAGGUGGAGAUUGUUGGAUUUUUUAAUACCCAAUAAUCCAGGCGAUGAUUUAAAACAGUUGUCGGAUUAUUUAUCGACACCAUGGACUUUGCUCGAUUCGGAGAUGAACUACACUUUUGGAUAGUUCGGGUUUGGGUUGGAUGAUUAUUUGGUUAGUUGGACCAUUUAGUGAUUAAUAUGGAGUUGAAUAUCGGCCCAUUAGUUUAGGUUAAUUGAUAGCCCGCUUAGUGAACCCUAGGCCCAAUUAGAGUGACCUAAACUAACCUAUAUAUAUGUAUUUAUCUUCCAGCCGUUUGUGGUGGUGUGUGUGUGUUGUAGCAAUGGAGAUGAGAGUUGAGAGAAGAGCGACAACCGAGAGAGAGGGAAGCCAUGUAAGGUUGUGAGUAAGAUUCAACCACUGUUCUUCUUCCUCUCCAUACCUUUGUGGAUUGCUAACACCACCACCCUUCUCCUUUG